CCCGUGAUAUUUACUGUCACCUAAGUGACACCAGGGUCCACGGGCAUUGACUUACCAAGGUCCGUCUGCAAGGGCGGCCUUGUGCCUGGCAAUGUCGGGCUUGUAAAGAUGACCUAGACCUUGUGUUGGACCCUGGCAGCAUGUCUGGGCUUUGCAGACAGGCAACGGUUCUCACCGAGCUGCCACCAGCUAGCGUUCUGGACGUGGAACUGAGCCUCAAUUGACCUGUGUCAGGGGAGAAGCUGUUUCCCCCUCCCUUCUGGAUUCUUCUGGUC
rnacentral:lncRNA from 1 species